rfam:Stegodyphus mimosarum contig99502, whole genome shotgun sequence.
GCUUUCGUGGUGUAGUGGUCAGCACGCUGGACGCGUAACCGAGAGGCUCGUGGUUCAAUUCGCGGCGAAGGCG